CCUACGGGUGGCAGCAGUGAGGAAUAUUGGUCACUGGGCGCGAGCCUGAACCAGCCAAGUAGCGUGAAGGAUGACUGCCCUACGGGUUGUACACUUCUUUUAUCAAUGAAUAAAGUGAGGCACGUGUGCCUUUUUGUAUGUACUUUAUGAAUAAGGAUCGGCUAACUCCGUGCCAGCAGCCGCGGUAAUACGGAGGAUCCAAGCGUUAUCAGGAUUUAUUGGGUUUAAAGGGAGCGUAGAUGGGUUGUUAAAUCAGUUGGGAAAGUUUGCGGCUCAACCGUAAAAUUGCAAUUGAUACUGGCAGUCUUGAGUACAGUUGAGGUAGGCGGAAUUCGUGGUGUAGCGGUGAAAUGCUUAGAUAUCACGAAGAACUCCGAUUGCGAAGGCAGCUUACUAAACUGCCACUGACAUUGAUGCUCGAAAGUGUGGGUAUCAAACAGGAUUAGAUACCCGGGUAGUC
rnacentral:rRNA from 1 species